rnacentral:rRNA from 1 species
AUUGAACGCUGGCGGCAGGCUUAACACAUGCAAGUCGAGCGGGGUGAUGGUGCUUGCACUAUCACUUAGCGGCGGACGGGUGAGUAAUGCUUAGGAAUCUGCCUAUUAGUGGGGGACGACAUCUCGAAAGGGAUGCUAAUACCGCAUACGUCCUACGGGAGAAAGCAGGGGAUCACUUGUGACCUUGCGCUAAUAGAGGAGCCUAAGUCGGAUUAGCUAGUUGGUGGGGUAAAGGCCUACCAAGGCGACGAUCUGUAGCGGGUCUGAGAGGAUGAUCCGCCACACUGGGACUGAGACACGGCCCAGACUCCUACGGGAGGCAGCAGUGGGGAAUAUUGGACAAUGGGGGGAACCCUGAUCCAGCCAUGCCGCGUGUGUGAAGAAGGCCUUAUGGUUGUAAAGCACUUUAAGCGAGGAGGAGGCUCUUUUGGUUAAUACCCAGAAUGAGUGGACGUUACUCGCAGAAUAAGCACCGGCUAACUCUGUGCCAGCCGCCGCCGUAA